CUUGCGUCACUGUUCCUGUCUCCGUGUAACUCACAAUAAAGAGAUUUUGGCAUCAACUGUGAGCUUAGGGGUAGAAGAAGGGUAUAUGUUAGGAUGUGGGAGCGGAAUCAAUUCUUCAAAUCUUAAUGAUGGUGAAGAAGAGUGCUCACCAGAUUCCCUUCUGGUCUGGAAAAAGAAAUCCCUUCAAUCCCUUCUUUUGUGGAUGUCAUCUCUACCAUCUCGCGAUGAAAAAUAUUUCAAGAGAAUCCUAAGAUGGAGAGAGCAUUGGAAGUCAUCCAGCCCAAUUCCCUCACGCAUUUCAAAGCUUCUUUGUAAGAAAAAUGCCCCCAGAAGUUUGUUUGCAUCAUGAAGAUCAGGUCUUGAGAGAUCCAGUCUGGCUCUUCCCUGUACAAAACAUUCCUCACAAACAGAAUAUGGACAAUUGCUAAAUGUCAAAGGUAAAGUUAUUGUGGGAACUCCAAAAAGUUCAAGUGAGAGCUCAUUCUAUGAGUGACCAUUUACACCUAAUUUUUUUCUGUGCUAUAUUACUUAUUCUGAAGUGGUUGAUCCAGUUCCUAAAAGGGAAUAUUUCAUUACCUUUCAUUUCCUGUAGCAUCCAUUCUGACCCCUUUAUCAGUUUAAUUAUUCCCUGAUUCCAGUCUUCAUUCACUCAUUUAUUUGAGAAAUAUUUAUUAACCAACAACUAUGCCAGGUCCUAUUCUAUGUGUAGGGGCUAUAAAGUUGAACAAGACAGAGGAGGUACUGGCCUCAGAAUUUGCAUUCUAGUAGAAGAUGAGAAAGUAAAAAUAAACACAUGGAAACAUGAAUGAACCGUAUAUUAUAGACUGUGAUAGGUGUAGUUUGGGUAAAGCACAGAGUACAGUAGUAAAGAUAAACUGGGUUCAGAGUGGGGCUAUUUUAGAUGGAAUGGAGAUCUCUGAGGAAAUGAAAUUUGAGCUGAGACCUAAAAGGUCACCCAAGGACUCAUGGGAAAACUCAGUUGUUUCUAUCAAAAUUAGGCUUCAUGAACUCCAGGCCCUUGCAAGUGAUGGUUACCAAGUGGGAAAUGUCUCACUGGCAACAGAGGUUGGCAGACCCAGCUCCAGUUCCAUCCCAGCCAACAUACCAAUGUCAUUAAAAUAAGGCCAUUCAUCAAGCUGGAGACUAUUACUAGAAACAAGCAUUCUAAAGUGCCAUUCGAGUGCCAGGCUCUCAACACUGGGCAUAAUACUGCUCCAUGAGGCUUUUGAGAGCAUGUACUGAGGCAUGACCAAAAAAAUUAAGUCCCAUGUAAGUGAUGCAACUGCUCUCCAAUUACUGUAGAAGUAUCUGCAGACUAACUAUUGUGCGUGUGUGUUUGUUUGCUUUAAUGAAUAAAUUCAGUCAACCAACCAUCUAGCUAAUGACUAAAUCCAUUCUUUUUCUUCCAAAAUAACUGUCUAUUGGCUGAAGUUUACUGGUUUUUAUUUCUAUUUGCAUACAUAAUUUUCUAAACCCCAUUCUUAUGGAACCUUCUCUAAGUUCCUCUCUAUGGCCCUGUUCCAUGUUCAUACGGAUACACACAAAGACACAAAUACACCAAACUAAGUUUAGAGCAGUCUGGUGCCUGCCUAAGACUUCGGCCUCAUCUCCUGCUUCUACCCUCUUUAGUUUAGGAAAAACAGGUAACGUUACUGAGUGCCAAGUAUUGUGCUAGUAGCUUUGCAUGCAUUUUUUCAUUUUAUCUUCACAGGUUUCUUCUAUCACCAUAAUCUGUAUGUUUGACCAUGGUGUUUCCUCCACCUGAAAUUCCCUUGGUGCUCUGCCUGGGGAACUGUUACUCAUUCUUCAAAUCUCAACGGAAUGAUCUCCUCCUCUGGAAAGCUCUCCCUACUUCCCUAGGAAGAAGUAAUCCCUUCCUCAGUUCUGCUUUGAUUAUAACUUUAUAAGCACCUAUCACUCUGCAUGGUAUUAGUCCACUGUCAUGUCCAUUUCCUCCACUGGGAUGUAAAUUGCUUACGGGUAAUAAUUAGGCUUUGAAUCAUUUUAUGAUCUGGCCUAAGACAGUGCUUGUCACAUACUAUAGGCUCAUCAGAUGAUGGCUAAGUAGAAUUAAAUUGAAUCAAGUUGAAGUUAUCAUUUUGAUGUUUAUCAAUUAACAUGUGUAGUGUGUUAAAUGGUGGUCACUAAAAACAUAUGUAUGCACCCUAAUUCCUGGAACUUGUGAAGAUAACCUUACGUGUUAAGAAGAAAUAUGACCUUAAAUGGAUAUGGAGACAAGGAGCUUAUCCUGGAUUGUCUGAGAGGGCCCUAGAUGCAAUUGCAUGUAUUCUGAUAAAUGGAGAGAAACAGAAGAGGAGGAUGCAUUGUGACCAUGUAGGCAGAAGUUUGAAUGGUGCAGCCACAAGCCAAGGAGCCCCUGGGGUCAUCAGAAGCUGGAAGAAGCAAGGAAUGGAAUCCUUCCUAGUGUUUGGAAGGAGUGUGCACUUGCCAACACCUUGGUUUGAGACUUCUGGCCUCCAGAACUGUGACAGAAUAAAAUAUCUGUUGUUUUGAGCCACCCAAUUGUUGCUAAUUUGUUAAAGCCACCCUAGAAAAUUAAUAUAGCAUCUGCAAUAACAUUUCUCAAAAUAUAUGUUCCUGUGAAAUGGAAGAGUUCUAGGGAUCUAAUAGCAUAUAAGGAACCCAGAUAAGUUAUACAAGUUUUUCCCUGAAAGUCUUUUCAGAUUCUUUAGCAGGCCAAGGUGCAUUGUGAAUCCCAAAAACUUUAGCGUUUUUCAGCAUCUAUUAUCACAGAAUCCUUUCCCCACCCAUGGAAUUGUAUACUAACCUAUUUUUGUAGAUGUUGAUGUUCUGUAGAACAGUUUUGGGGUCUAUAUGACUUAAGAUCCUUCUACAAUGGAACACAGUGAAGAGGGUAUUCAGAGGAGGUAUAGAGGGCAUUGAUCUUGCAAUAUAUACUCAGGAAAUUACCAUGGGCAGAAUAAAAUGCUUUUGAAAGU
rnacentral:lncRNA from 1 species